rnacentral:rRNA from 1 species
GACGAACGCUGGCGGCGUGCUUAACACAUGCAAGUCGAACGGAAAGGCCCUGCUUUUGUUGGGUGCUCGAGUGGCUAACGGUUGAGUAACACGUGAUUAACCUGCCCUUGACUUUGGGAUAACUUCAGGAAACUGGGGCUAAUACCGGAUAGUAGCUCCUGCUGCAUGGUGUGGGUUGGAAAGUUUCGGCGGUUGGGGAUGGACUCGCGGCUUAUCAGCUUGUUGGUGGGGUAGUGGCUUACCAAGGCUUUGACGGGUAGCCGGCCUGAGAGGGUGACCGGCCACAUUGGGACUGAGAUACGGGCAAGACUCAUACGGGAGGCAGCAGUGGGGAAUAUUGCAAGAUGGGCGGAAGCAUGAUGCAGCAACGCCGCGUGCGGGAUGACGGCCGUAGGGUUGUAAACCGUGUUCGCCUGUGAAGAAGAGUGAGUGACGGUAAUGGGUAAAGAAGCACCGGCUAACUACGUG